GACGUAGGAUGCAAGCGUUGUCCGGAUUUAUUGGGCGUAAAGAGUUCGUAGGUGGUUUGCUAAGUCUGAUGUUAAAUACUGGAGCUCAACUUCGGGACUGCAUUGGAUACUGGCAGACUUGAGUGUGGUAGAGGCAAUCGGAAUUCCAGGUGUAGCGGUGAAAUGCGUAGAUAUCUGGAAGAACACCGGUGGCGCAAGCGGAUUGCUGGGCCUGUACUGACGCUGAGGAGCGAAAGCGUGGGGAGCAAACAGG
rnacentral:rRNA from 1 species